GUUCAAAUCCUAUCUUUUCCAUUUAAUGACUAUGUGAUCUUAGACAAGUCUUUGUUUCCUCAUUUGUAAAAUGAGGGAAUUAGACUAGAGAAUUUCCAAGACCAAUUCAUCUUUCAUUCUAGUUCUUCCCUUUGGAGAACAAGGGAGAACUGGGACAGGGAGAGAGAUGAUCCAGAAUAACUCUUUACCCUCUUACUGUUAUCAAAGAAAAACAUGGACUGAUUUGAAAUUGAAUUUGAAAUUUUUCAAUUUGAAUUUUAAUUUCUGCUCACCAGAGGUAGAGAGAGUGGAUGGGGGAGUUCUAUUGAAAAGAGUGUUGAACUUGAAGUCAGGAAACCUGGGACCAAGACCCAGCUCUAUAAUUUAUUAGCUUUGUGUCUUUGGGCAAGUCACUUCUUUCUGAGCCAGAAGAUCCUGAAGGACCCUUUGGGGUCUAAUAUUCCAUGAUUCUUGGAAGUCAAGGAUCAUAUACUGAAAGAAAAAAAAUGGCUUUUUUACAGAGCUACUUAGGAACAGUUUUAGGAGUCAUCUGGUCCUUGAUAUAUUCUCAGUAACAUCAUGGUAUAUAGUAGAUAGAUUACAUAGGAAAACCUAGCUUUAAAUACUGCCUUAGACAUAUAAUAACUGUAGGACCCUAGAUAAGUCUCUUAACCUUUCUAGCCUCAUUUCUUCUUCUAUAAGGAAAGAAGGGUUAGACUUCAUUACCUCUAAGGUACCUUCUAGCUUAAAAUCUAUGAUGAAAGAAAAGGUCCAGACAGGAGGCUCUCUUCCCUCUCAACCCUUUCAGCUACCCCCUAUUACAACAUCCCUUCCCCUUAGGCACACUGUGCUUCUUUCUUCUAGCAUCUCCAGGCAAGAACUCCUUCUCCAAAUUGAGGAAGUGUUUUCCGGGGAGACAGAAAAUUCUGGAGCUACAACUUUCAGAUUCACCCAAGAUGACUUAGGAGCCAGCCAAACAUUUGUUAUCAGAUGGGUGGUUGAGAAGUACAUCAGACUACAAGAGCUUAGGUGAGUAUAUCUCUGAGACUUAGCCUCCAUUUGUUUCUCUGCCUUUGGGUUAUGUGAAAAUUUUGGUGUAGGUGAUUAGGAACCUUGGGGCAAGACCAAAUGUCCCUCCCUAAUGUCAUGUCAGAGAUGAGUGAUAUUGGCUGGGCUCAGGAAAGCCCAGAUGGUAUCUUUCCAUAACCCAAGGUAGAUAGGACAAUGAUAACUGACAACAGAGAAGAUUGAGCUACACAAAUCUCAUUUUGCUUCUAGGUUUCAUUUUGAGGGUUGGAUUUUGUUUUUGGUCUUUUGUUUUUGGGGUUUUUUUGCAUUGGCAAUGACAAAUAACUCACUGGAAGAUGAUAUCCCAAGUAAGUGAGGAGCUAGGAAGAUUCCACCUAGUUGACCUUGAUGACUUCAAGUUACCUGAUCCAGAUAAGUUAUAUUACAAUAUAAAUACAAAAUAUUUUCCAUACUUACUGGUGGGAAAGAAAAAGAGAAGUAGACCAGAUGGUAAAACAAUUAAGUUGAUUUGGAACUGGUUGAGGAGUCAAACUCAAAGUUCAAUGGUUGUUAAUGAUUCAGUGUCAGUUUGGCAAGAGUGGAGUGUCUCAGAGAUCUGUGUUUGACCCUGUUGUUGACUAAUCUUUAUCAUUGAUUUUGGAGAAAGAUAAAGAUGGCAUGGUGCUUUGAUUUGCAGAUGACACAAAGCUAUG
rnacentral:lncRNA from 1 species